rnacentral:autocatalytically_spliced_intron from 1 species
GUCAAAUAGUUAAUAAAAACUAUUUAAUACUACUUGAAUUGCUGGAAAACCCUAAAGCUAGUAUAACUACAACAUAGUACCUGAAUAAAUAUGGUACAGAUGUGAAAGUGGCGAAAGCAGAAAAAAUAUACUAGAUGACAUAAGGUUAAAUCCUAAGUGUUAAGCCAGUAAUAUCCCAAAUCAAAGAUUUGGGAAAGGCUAAAAAUGGGCAAUCAGCCGCCAAGACCGAAAGGUAAGGUUCAACGACUAUUCCUUAAUAGGAAGUACACCAAAGCUGGUGGAAGUGAGUAGACCCAAACAGUAAGGCUGUGGGAUAAGAUAUAGUCUGUGCUUGUUAGAAAUAACAAG